rnacentral:rRNA from 1 species
UACGGGGGGAGCAAGCGUUGUUCGGAUUUACUGGGCGUAAAGGGCGCGUAGGCGGUCGUGACAAGUCACUUGUGAAAUCUCCGGGCUUAACUCGGAAAGGUCAAGUGAUACUGUCGGACUAGAGUACAGAAGGGGCAACUGGAAUUCUCGGUGUAGCGGUGAAAUGCGUAGAUAUCGAGAGGAACACCAGUGGCGAAGGCGACACACUGGGUCAUUACUGACGCUGAGGCGCGAAAGCGUGGGGAGCAAACAGG